rnacentral:tRNA from 1 species
GCGACGGUAGUCAAGCGGUUAAGAUUCCGGCCUUCCAAGCCGGCGUCCCGGGUUCGAAUCCCGGCCGUCGCACCA